rnacentral:tRNA from 1 species
GUCUACGUAGCUUAAACCAAAGCAUGGCACUGAAGGUGCUAAGAUUGAAUAUACUUUUUCCCGUAAACA